UUAAGCCUAUGGAAGGGAGAUUUGGAAUCCAGUCCUGCACCACAUUUACUUUGUCGCCACAAAGCAAAUCUUUGGGGUAGUGAACAUGAUUUUGCCAUGGUGUCAAUUAAUUAUUUUCUAAGUAAGUUGUAAUUGUUAAGAUUCUCUUAAAUACAGGAAUUCUGCUGGGUCCUACUGGCUGGAUUGUUCUGUCAUGUUCAGUGUUUGUAGAGUGGACCCAUUAAGAAGCAGGCAUGUAACAUAGAGUUGAUUUUUUGUGAUUUUAAUGAAAAGAUGAAGAAACUUGCAGAGGAAGGCAAAAAAGGAACAAGACCAUGAACUCCAGGGGGCGCUGACAAUGGCGAGCAGACAGGAAAGAUGACAAGAAGAGAGGAUACUAAUGAAUCAGAAACAAAGGCUUAAAUAAUGGGGAGGUUGAAUGCUGAACAAAAUGCCUGGGCUGAUGAGCUAAGUGAUUGCAGGUGUGGGUGGAGGGGGAGAGAAGGUGGCACAAGGGGCAAGGAAGAGUACACAGGGAAAAGGGAAGUAAUUCUAACACUACAGAUUAACUUGACUAAAGAAACAUAAUAAACUAGCAUGACAAAGAAUAAUUAUAAUAAUAAUUAAACAUAGCUAGAAACACUAAGGAAAACAAAAAAAGGUAAACAGGAACAAGACAGAUCGAACCAAAAUAAGAAAGUAACACAAAAUAAUAAUGAAGCUAGAAGGAAAUCAAACUACAAAACAACCUUGUUAGGAUCCUGGGCAACAGCCCAGGAUCCUAACAAGUUUAACAAUAACCUUAUUUACACUUAUUAUGAAGGCAAAAAUAUUUGUAAAGAACAAAAGGAAAAGGAAUAGUUUACUUAUUUUUUUAGUUAUUUCUUUAAAUAUAUAUGUUCAGUUUUUCGGAAGUUAAGUGUGAAUGUCAUAUUUUUUAAUGAAAAUUUAUAGAAGGCCAUGCAUAGCUGAAGUUCUGCUCCAAAGGCUGAGAUUCAAUAAAUCAGAAAAAGAAAGAUAUCAGUUGAAUUUGUGACAAAACUUCUAGAUAUACGUAAUAAAAGUCUUUUUUGCAGCAUAAAUUUGAUCUUGUUGUCUUUAAACUGUUAUGAAAAUGUUGUUCAGCCUUAGACUAAUUUUGGUGAACUCAAUGUUGCGUCUCAUCUUGUGGGUUUUAGGUAUUGUUCGUUACACUCCUGUUAGAUGAAAGGUAUUAUUAUGAAUACAUUGACUGUUGUAGCUUGGAGCAAAGUUCCCUGUUUUUAUUUUUCAAACCAUUCUGAGUAAACCUGAAAGAUUGCUGUGAGUACACUGAUAAAUUGUCUUUGAUUUCCUUAGUUUGGGACAUCAACAUUCUGCCAAUAAUUAUGAGGAAACCAAUCUUAUCCACCAAUCUUAUCUACCUUAUCAAAGGUCUGAAAAUCAGCCACUGUUUAUUUCUGCUCUGCCAUGAGAGAGCGCUGACUGACAGACCCGCCAGGUCACGUCUAUGGACCUGGUGGGUCCAAAUACUCACCUCACUGUUGACAACUUAGCGAUUUUGUCAUUAAAUUUAGCAACUUUUAGACAAAACAUUGGUAUCAGCCAAAUUCGGAAUCAGCAACACAGGUUUUUUUUUAUGAUCAGUGAUUAAUCAGAAAACUGUAAUCCGUCCACCUCUCGUGAAAAUUCCAGUAGAUUGGUAGGUUCUAAAAUUACCAAACCUUCUUGCCUGAUGCCAACAACCAUCAUUCUGAUGUUCAAUUUGAUUUUUCAGAAAAAUAUUUGCUGUAUUUUGGUGAAUCAGCAACUACAAAAAAA